ACACAUCCCUGGGAAUGCAGACUUAGGAGUCAAAACAUUAGGAGUCAAUCUUUGCGAGAGGACGAUUCCAUCCACUUUCACAGAAAGGCGAAUACUGGGGAGAAACUAUGAGGAUGUUCUGCCUGAGACAUCAUUCCAAAGAGUGACAAAUGACAACGUGUUGGUAUGAAAAAUCUUCCAAGGAGUCUUCUUUAUUUCUAACAAAUGAAAAUAUUUCCAUCUCCAACCAGCCUUGAAAACGUUAUUCCAG